rnacentral:rRNA from 1 species
AAUAUUGGACAAUGGGGGCAACCCUGAUCCAUCCAUGCCGCGUGAGAGAUGAAGGCCUUAGGGUUGUUAAGCUCUUUCAGUUGGGUAGAUAAUGACGGUACCCACACAAAAAGCCCCGGCUAACUCCGUUCCAGCAGCCGCGGUAAUACGAAGGGGGCUAGCGUUUUUCGGAUUUACUUGGCGUAAAGCGCACGUAGGCGGAUUGGUCAGUUAGGGGUGAAAUCCCGGAGCUCAACUCCGGAACUGCCUUUAAUACUGCCAGUCUAGAGUCCGAGAGAGGUGAGUGGAACUCCUAGUGUAGAGGUGGAAUUCGUAGAUAUUAGGAAGAACACCAGUGGCGAAGGCGGCUCACUGGCUCGGUACUGACGCUGAGGUGCGAAAGCGUGGGGAGCAAAC